GGGUGUAUCCAAUGCGCAUGCGCGAGAAGCGAGCGGCUGUCGUGAGGUAAAGCGCCACAGCAGUCGAGAUGGCAGGAUUAAGCAGAGGGGCCGCUCGUCUGACAGGGCUUGUUUUUCACGGUCGGCAUCAGGUUUACCGAGUGAAUAGCGCCGCAUACCCAGCAGAUUCCAAAUAUGCCUUUUUGAUACAUCUACGUCUCCUUAGGUUUGCAAAAUAAAGCCAAAAAUGGGGAAAAAAGUGUGUUUUUUUUUUUUUUUUCUUCCGACUCAAUAAAAACUAGUUUGUAAUUGUAUUUUUCGAAAACUCUAAUAUCAAAAGCUGUGUUGCUAGAUAUUUGUAGCAGGUAACCGGUCUAAAAUAAACAGAAGUUGACAACAGUAGACUGUGUUUUUCUAAUAUUUUAUUGCUAAAAGUUCAAUUUAUUAGACUAUCACAACAGACAUCUUUACAUUUAAUGCAUGGCUGCCGUCAAUUAAACAGCUCUAGCUGCCCGGGAUGUUAAAAUAUGCCAACAAAACUAUAUAUUUUUAGAAACUACACCCCCAGCCGCAGCAAAUGAGGUCUUAUUUGUAUUUGUAUCACAAAUCUGCCGUGCACAGCAAAUAAGUGAAUAUCACACUUAUAUUAAAAAAAUAUAUUAAAAGAGACAAGUUCAUUUAUGUCUCUAGUCUUGUGCUACUAAUACAUGCAGCCCCUCAUUUGAUGCGCCAAGGGGUGUAGUUUCUGAAAAUAUAUACUUUUUGUCCCAUAAUUUAACUUCCCAGCUGUCUAGAGCUGUCUAAUUGCAGGCAUCACCCCUAAAAGUUUUAAGACAAUUUUUUAACAAGAUUUUCAAAUCUGCCAUUUCUGAAGUUAAAGAUCUAGACAUCUGGGAAGUUAAAUUAGGGUACAUAAAGUACACAUUUCAAGAAACGACACCCCUUGGAGCUUCAAAUGAGGGGCUGCAUGUAUCUCUAGGACAGAAUUUGAGUGUAGGGCUGCAAUUAUUGGGCUGAUUAUAUUUUCGAUUAAUCGGGUAAAAAAAAAAAAAACAAUAUGCAAAUGUUUCGUUUAUUUAAAAUAAAAACUUAUAAUUUACAAUGGCA